rnacentral:snoRNA from 1 species
GAGUGUUGCUUCAGGGCAGCUGUUCCCGACCAUUGAUGACCGUUCCUCUCUCUCACGGGCUGAGGAGGAAGGAGACACUUUCUGAGUGGG